GACGAACGCUGGCGGCGUGCUUAACACAUGCAAGUCGAACGGAAAGGCCCUGCUUUUGUGGGGUGCUCGAGUGGCGAACGGGUGAGUAACACGUGAGUAACCUGCCCUUGACUUUGGGAAAACUUCAGGAAACUGGGGCUAAUACCGGAUAGGAGCUUCUGCUGCAUGGUGGGGGUUGGAAAGUUUCGGCGGUUGGGGAUGGACUCGCGGCUUAUCAGCUUGUUGGUUGGGUAGUGGUCUACCAAGGCUUUGACGGGUAGCCGGCCUGAGAGGGUGACCAGCCACAUUGGCACAGAGAUGCAGCCCAGACUCCUACCCGAGACAGCAGUGGUGACUAUUGCACAAUCGGCGCAAGCCUGAUGCAGCAACGCCGCGUGCGGGAUGACGACCUUCGGGUUGUAAACCGCUUUCGCCUGUGACGAAGCGUGCGUGACGGUAAUGGGUAAAGAAGCACCGGCUAACUACGUG
rnacentral:rRNA from 1 species